rfam:Anaerostipes sp. 992a contig000003, whole genome shotgun sequence.
CCUAUGGAGUGUACAAAAACUUGUGAGUAGUAUCUGGAUUUAUUCAGUACAAAAACAUACACGAUGAAGUAGGAA